UCCGCGGUAGCUCAGCGGUAGAGCAAUCGGCUGUUAACCGAUUGGUCGUAGGUUCGAAUCCUACCCGCGGAG
rnacentral:tRNA from 1 species